GAUGGCGCAUGCGCGCGCUUCGGCGGCGCGCUCAGAGGCCAGAAGGGGAGGUGGGAGCGGGAGGGCAAGGACUUCGGCGCAGGCGCAGUGAGCCGUCUCCUGGCCCGCUGGACAGCGGCUGCUUGGCUGUUGGCCAUGGUCCGGGAGCGGACUGGGGCGCUGGAGCCCCUAAGAGAGUGACUCCUCGAGGCAGGUCCUUCCAGGUCACCAGGUUGGAGCAAGCACCCACUCCAAGGACAGUCCCUGUUCUCUGGAUCCUUAAGCUCGGAAAACUGGAACUACAGAGCUUCGGCCUCCUCUCUGCGAAUUUCUCCAGUCCAGUUUUACUCAAGGAAGUCCAGCUUUUUCAUCGGGUGCUAAAGGACAGGGCUGUGUUCCCUCCCUGUUGUUUGACCUGAGACCAAACUAUGGUGGAGGUGAUGAAGACAAUGGGGAGCUCUUUCAGAAGGUCUCAUUCAUACACUGCAGCACUCAGUGGCCCCAACCCUGCAGCAGGCCACUGCCAAGCCAUGCCUCCGCAGGAGACUCCUGGACACUCACAGGCAAGUCUGGGUGUCUCUGUGGGGUCACUGCUCCUUUCUCCUGGGUCCUGGUGCACACAAGGUUUUGUUUGUGCCCUCCAAGAGUCUGUUUCCCUAGACCUGUGUAAGUUUUGUGGUCAAAUCCCACUGGUCUCCAAAGUGAAAUUCUCUGGGAGUUCUUGGUCCCUUUGCCAGAUCCCCAGGUUGGGAACUCUUUGUGGGUCCUGGAACUUUCUUAACACUGCAUGAAUUUCUGUGGUGUAAUUGUUCUGCAGUUUGUGGGUCAUCUGCUUGGUGGCUCUUUGGUGGGGUUAAUGGCAACCUCCUCCAAGAGGGCUUAUGCCACAGGCUGUGUGUCCCAGGUCUGCUGCGCCCAGAGCCCCCUGCCCCUGCAGCAGGCCACUGCUGACCUGUAAUUCCACUGGAGACUCAAACACAGGUCUGGCUCAGUCUCUGUGGGGUCUCUAGGACCUGGUGCUCAAAAGGUUUUGUUUGAG